rnacentral:rRNA from 1 species
UACGUAGGGGGUAAGCGUUGUCCGGAAUCAUUGGGCGUAAAGAGCGUGUAGGCGGCCAGAUAAGUCCGCUGUGAAAACUCGAGGCUCAACCUCGAGACGCCGGUGGAAACCGUAAGGCUAGAGUCCGGAAGAGGAGAGUGGAAUUCCUGGUGUAGCGGUGAAAUGCGCAGAUAUCAGGAAGAACACCCGUGGCGAAGGCGGCUCUCUGGGACGGUACUGACGCUGAGACGCGAAAGCGUGGGGAGCAAACAGG